rnacentral:lncRNA from 1 species
ACGCACCAGCAAGAUGAGUUGUACCACACAGCGCCCAUGCCAAGGUCAGCAGUCUGAAUGGAGCUGAGACACUUACUGCCCGUGCCAAGCAGUGCCAAGCACCUCUGGAAGCCCCUGCCUAGGACCCCCAAAUUUAGAUUCAUGCUGCAGUCUGGAGAGUGUUUUGACGGCUGCCGGGCUACAGGGAAAAGCGCACUGCACACUGCCUCUGAGAUGAGACAGAGCUCUCCAGGCUGGGAGUCUGGGGAAGCCGGACCUGGGUAGCGCUGCUCAGGCAGGUUGAAUUCAUCUGCCUGCUUCCAUAGGCUCCAUCCAGACUAAGCUCUACAGGAACUGCCACCGAGACAGAAGUCUCUCUUUCCUCAGUCACUUGGCCCAACUCAAAUAAGUCCAAAGGACAGAAGAGUAAUGUGUGAAGUAGGAGCCACAGGGCAGGAGACGCCAAACCAGAGGGGCUGGAACUCACCUGAAGCUGAUGGAGCCCCCCUGCCUACUCCACUUCUGACAAGCCAGUUCAUGGAUGCUGUCCACAGAUUUUUUUCAUUGCUGGUGGUUUAAUGCUCUCUGUAGCCUUGUAAUGAUUCAACCAGACAGAGGAACCAAAGUCGAUCAGUCCAUGACUAAUAGGGACUCUCCGGUCCCAGGCUUCACCACAUUCUGAGCAGCCAACAGGUGCCACAUGGGAUGCAAGCAUCAUGUGUAAGACAGCAAGAGUCUGCAGCAGCUUGAAGCUCCAUCUGGCUAAUGGAGAACACACUCUUGGGCAAAAGGCUACAAAAAAUACGAACCACGGUACUCCCGUCCAUGCAUGACUUGAUGGUUUUCCCUAAGAUGUGCUAUCCUUCUGUCUCUGCCCUUUUCUCUCCUCUCUUCCCCUUCAAAUGACGAAGACUCAUUCAGUUUGCCUCCAAGCUUUCUCAUUUCAACUGUCCUAUUUAUACCCCUGAGCCAAUUGGAAUGGAAGAAAGGGUGGAGGUUAUUUUUUUCCACCUGUUCCAGGAACAUGUGUUCGAAGAAUGAAUUUUUCCCCUCAUUAAAUCACCAUGGCAAUUUUCCA